GCUGGAGCUGAUUGUGUGGACAUGCUGCCCUCUGGAGGACGUUGGAAAAAUUGCAUGUUUGGCCAAAUGAAAGAACCGCCAAGAUAAGAGCUCAGCUAUCACAUUACAAUUCUAUUUAACAGUGAAUAGAUGAGGAGAAAACUAUGAAGGAGACAGAAGAGGAAUGGCCAGACGAAACACUCCAAUAGGUCCUAGGUCAGCGAGGAACACCAGAUGAUGGCGAACUACAAGAUGGGUGAAGAUAGAGUAACAGUGUGUGUGUGCUUUAACUGUUUUUAAGAUGAUAAUCAGAAUAAGAACAGACUGAAAAAAAAAGAAUCAGAGUAAAGAACCAUAAGAUCCCAAGGAUGUGUAUCCAAUUUGAAGACUGCAUUCUUCACAAUAGUCAAGAUAUGGAACAAGCAAAGUGUCCCCUGAUGAAUGGACAAAUAAAGAAACAGUGGUGAAAAAGAAAAAAAAGAAAC